GAGGGGUUGGCGCACCCACGUGGUGCUGGGUGAGGUAAAUACGGAGGAGCGUUGUCUGUGGGGGAGCUCGUAGCUGUGCGAGGGGGAGCGAUGGGGCUCGGUGUGCCUCAGGGGCAGGAGGUGGGGGUCUCCGCCUGAGAGGUUACUGGGGCUGCUGCUGAGCGUCCUGAGCGAGGCAGAGCCGUGCUGGCUUUGGGAGGCGCUCAGCUGGGAGCUGUGAGGCAGGCACUGCCUGUUGGCUGGGCGGAAGGGCCCUGCUGAGCAGCGCUGAGCGCUGUGCCCUUCCCUCAUGCUGCCCGGUGCGCGGGGAGCCGUGCCCUGCUCCUCAUCCCUGUGAGGUGUUCACUGGGAUCUCGUGCUUUGGCUCCCGUUACACCUACCUUAUAAACCCUACUGGCAGCGAGGCCUUGUCACCUGAAAUAAGCAAAGUUAGGCAACUCGGGGAGUGUGGGGAGGUGAGCAGCUCUGAGGUAUGGCCCUGCUGCUCCUCGUUGUGAGUUUAAUUUCUGGGCUGAGGGAAAUUAGUUUGUAAGCUAGGUGCGAGGUGAGCUGUGCCCAGCAUGGCUUUGUUGUGAACGAAUUGAGCCAAUCUCAUCUCCAUCUCUGGCAGUGCAGCAGCUUGCAGGUGCAUGUUGUGGUUCUGCUCCUGACACAGCUCUUUUGCCAUGCAGGAAGCCUCUGAGGAAGGCUGCCUUUCUAAAGAUUAGAUCCAAGUUGAUGGAAGUAAUCCCAGCUGACUUGGGCAGCGCUAGGUCAGACCAUAAACCAGUUGCCCUGCAGCUAACUGAAAAACAUGGCUUCAAUGUGAGAAGUAACUGAAGCACACAUUGGCAGUGGGUGGCAGAAGGGCCCAAGGUUUCAAAAGCAAACUGCAUGGGACCGCUGAAGAAACAGUCCAUUGAAAACCCACCUCAUGUAAGUUUUAGGCAAAGGUGGUCUCCAGCCCUUUCAAGCAGAAUUUCAAGUUGCUGAGCUCAUCCUCCAGCACCACUUGGUACUACUCAGGGUAGCACUUCCAUUGCCAGGAUCCAGCUCAGUAGAACAGUCCAUCUUUGCUCUCAUCAUUUGGCCCAAGCACACCUCAGCACCCAGCAAGUUCCCUCAUUCCUACUGAAGAGAUGGGAAUCCAGUGUUCAUCCUGAGUACCCUGCUACACCUUCUGCUUCCGUUUCCAUUUGCAAGAAGUGUUUGCUGCUUCUGUGGAAUUUAUUAAAGAUUUCUUUAAUAAAACUACUGUUG
rnacentral:lncRNA from 1 species